GGAAUAUUGCACAAUGGGCGCAAGCCUGAUGCAGCGACGCCGCGUGAGGGAUGACGGCCUUCGGGUUGUAAACCUCUUUCAGCAGGGAAGAAGCGCAAGUGACGGUACCUGCAGAAGAAGCGCCGGCUAACUACGUGCCAGCAGCCGCGGUAAUACGUAGGGCGCAAGCGUUGUCCGGAAUUAUUGGGCGUAAAGAGCUCGUAGGCGGUUUGUCGCGUCUGCUGUGAAAACCUAAGGCUCAACCUUGGGCUUGCAGUGGGUACGGGCAGACUAGAGUGCGGUAGGGGAGACUGGAAUUCCUGGUGUAGCGGUGGAAUGCGCAGAUAUCAGGAGGAACACCGAUGGCGAAGGCAGGUCUCUGGGCCGCAACUGACGCUGAGGAGCGAAAGCGUGGGGAGCGAACAG
rnacentral:rRNA from 1 species